rnacentral:rRNA from 1 species
UCCUGCCAGUAGUCAUAUGCUUGUCUCAAAGAUUAAGCCAUGCACGUCUAAGGAUAAAUAUUAUUUAACCAUAAACCUGCGAAAGGCUCAUUAAAUCAGUAAUAAUCUAUUCUAUUAUUUAAUCCUAUUUGGAUAACUGUAGUAAUUCUAGAGCUAAUACAUGCAAAAAACCUGGACUUUUACAGAACAGGUGUACUUAUUAGACUUUAAAACCGAUUACAAUUUAUUGUAAAUUUAAAUGAAUUAAAAUAAGUUUAUGAAUCGCAGAUCAUUUUGUGAUGAUAAGAAUGAAUUUCUGCCCUAUCAACUUUCGAUGGUAAUGUAGUGGAUUACCAUGGUGAUGACGGGUAACGGGGAUUAGGGUUUGAUUCCGGAGAAAAGGCCUGAGAGACGGCCAUUACUUCUAAGGAAGGC